GUACUUGCUUCAGCAGCACAUAUGUUAAAAUCGGAAUGAUAACAGAUAUGAUCAUGACCCCUGCUCAAGGAUGACAUGCAAAUUAAUGAUGCAUUGCAUAUUUUU
ensembl:snRNA U6 U6 spliceosomal RNA